GAUGAACGCUAGCGGGAGGCCUAACACAUGCAAGCCGAGCGGUAUUGUUUCUUCGGAAAUGAGAGAGCGGCGUACGGGUGCGUAACACGUGUGCAACCUGCCUUUAUCUGGGGGAUAGCCUUUCGAAAGGAAGAUUAAUACUCCAUAAUAUAUUGAACGGCAUCGUUUAAUAUUGAAAGCUCCGGCGGAUAGAGAUGGGCACGCGCAAGAUUAGCUAGUUGGUGAGGUAACGGCUCACCAAGGCGAUGAUCUUUAGGGGGCCUGAGAGGGUGAUCCCCCACACGGGUACUGAGACACGGACCAGACUCCUACGGGAGGCAGCAGUGAGGAAUAUUGGUCAAUGGGUGCAAGCCUGAACCAGCCAUCCCGCGUGAAGGACGACUGCCCUAUGGGUUGUAAACUUCUUUUGUAUAGGGAUAAACCUACCCUCGAGAGGGUAGCUGAAGGUACUAUACGAAUAAGCACCGGCUAACUCCGUG
rnacentral:rRNA from 1 species